GUCGUGAGAUGUUGGGUUAAGUCCCGCAACGAGCGCAACCCUUGUCCUAUGUUGCCAGCGGAUUAUGCCGGGGACUCGUAGGAGACUGCCGGGGUCAACUCGGAGGAAGGUGGGGACGACGUCAAGUCAUCAUGCCCCUUACAUCCAGGGCUGCAAACAUGCUACAAUGGCCGGUACAAAGGGCUGCUAUUCCGCGAGGAUGAGCGAAUCCCAAAAAGCCGGUCUCAGUUCGGAUUGGAGUCUGCAACUCGACUCCAUGAAGUCGGAGUCGCUAGUAAUCCCGGAUCAGCAACGCCGGGGUGAAUACGUUCCCGGGCCUUGUACACACCGCCCGUCACACCACGAAAGUCGGCAACACCCGAAGCCAGUGGCCCAACCCGCAAGGGGGGGAGCUGUCGAAGGUGGGGUCGGUGAUUGGGGUGAAGUCGUAACAAGGUAGCCGUACCGGAAGGUGCGGCUGGAUCACCUCCUUUCUAAGGAGUCACUGACCUCUCCAAGUGCACCAUUACCGGAGAGGGACUCCCAGUCGAUCACUGGUUAAUCGGCUCUUCUGUCAGCACAACCGGUCGUAGGAGCUUGCUCCUCCUGGUGGUGCCGGCACUCGAGGUGGGCAUCUCUGUUCCGUUUUCCGGGAGCGCUUCGGCGCGCCCCAGGAGAUCCUUGAGAAUUCCAUAGCGAGCACGAGCAUCUUUGUUCUCCAAGCUAUGAAGAGCCAGCGGUGGAUGCCUUGGCGCCUAAAGCCGAUGAAGGACGUGGGUGGCUGCGAUAAGCCACGGGGAGCUGCCGACCAAGCUUUGAUCCGUGGAUGU
rnacentral:sRNA from 1 species